rnacentral:rRNA from 1 species
AGAGUUUGAUCCUGGCUCAGAUUGAACGCUGGCGGAAUGCUUUACACAUGCAAGUCGAACGGCAGCACGGGGCAACCUGGUGGCGAGUGGCGAACGGGUGAGUAAUACAUCGGAACGUGCCCAAUCGUGGGGGAUAACNGUAGCGAAAGUUACGCUAAUACCGCAUACGAUCUACGGAUGAAAGCGGGGGAUCGCAAGACCUCGCGCGAAUGGAGCGGCCGAUGUCAGAUUAGGUAGUUGGUGGGGUAAAGGCUCACCAAGCCGACGAUCUGUAGCUGGUCUGAGAGGACGACCAGCCACACUGGGACUGAGACACGGCCCAGACUCCUACGGGAGGCAGCAGUGGGGAAUUUUGGACAAUGGGCGCAAGCCUGAUCCAGCCAUUCCGCGUGCAGGAUGAAGGCCUUCGGGUUGUAAACUGCUUUUGUACGGAACGAAACGGUUCUCUCUAAUACAGGGGGCUAAUGACGGUACCGUAAGAAUAAGCACCCGGCUAACUACGUGCCAGCAGCCGCGGUAAUACGUAGGGUGCAAGCGUUAAUCGGAAUUACUGGGCGUAAAGCGUGCGCAGGCGGUUUUGUCAGACAGAGGUGAAAUCCCCGGGCUCAACCUGGGAACUGCCUUUGUGACUGCAAGGCUGGAGUACGGCAGAGGGGGAUGGAAUUCCGCGUGUACCAGUGAAAUGCGUAGAUAUGCCGGAGGAACACCGAUGGC